rnacentral:rRNA from 1 species
UGUGCUAAGGUAGCAUAAUAAUUUGCCUCGUAAUUGGGGGCUAGAAUGAAGGAUCUGACGAAGGAAACCCUGUCUUGACAUUUGACCUAAAAUUUAAUAUUUAAGUAAAAAAGCUUAGAUUAAGCGAAGGGACGACAAGGCCCUAAAAGCUUUUUUAUUGACGUAAAUCUGAUAAAUUCACCUAAAGGUAACUGUUAAUAAUUUAGCUGGGGCGGCUGUAAUUAAACUUUCACAAAUAAUAUACUCACAUAUUUAAUGACACUAAUUAACUUCUCUAGAAACCUAAAAUAAAGUUACUUUAGGGAUAACAGCGCAAUAUCCCAAUAGAGUCCCUAUCGACUGGGAUGAUUGCGACCUCGAUGUUGAAUUGAGAACCUUCCUGAAGCAG